rnacentral:rRNA from 1 species
UACGAAGGGUGCAAGCGUUAAUCGGAAUUACUGGGCGUAAAGCGUGCGUAGGCGGUUUCUUAAGUCUGCUGUGAAAUCCCCGGGCUCAACCUGGGAAUGGCGGUGGAUACUGGGCAGCUAGAGUGUGUCAGAGGAUGGUGGAAUUCCCGGUGUAGCGGUGAAAUGCAUUGAGAUCGGAAAGAACACCAACGGCGAAAGCACUCUGCUGGGCCGACACUGACACUGAGAGACGAAAGCUAGGGGAGCAAAUGGG